UAUGAACGCUGGCGGCGUGCCUAAUACAUGCAAGUCGAGCGAACGGACGAGAAGCUUGCUUCUCUGAUGUUAGCGGCGGACGGGUGAGUAACACGUGGAAACCUACCUAUAAGACUGGGAUAACUUCGGGAAACCGGAGCUAAUACCGGAUAAUAUUUUGAACCGCAUGGUUCAAAAGUGAAAGACGGUCUUGCUGUCACUUAUAGAUGGAUCCGCGCUGCAUUAGCUAGUUGGUAAGGUAACGGCUUACCAAGGCAACGAUGCAUAGCCGACCUGAGAGGGUGAUCGGCCACACUGUAACUGAGACACGGUCCAGACUCCUACGGGAGGCAGCAGUAGGGAAUCUUCCGCAAUGGGCGAAAGCCUGACGGAGCAACGCCGCGUGAGUGAUGAAGGUCUUCGGAUCGUAAAACUCUGUUAUUCGGGAAGAACAUAUGUGUAAGUAACUGUGCACAUCUUGACGGUACCUAAUCAGAAAGCCACGGCUAACUACGUG
rnacentral:rRNA from 1 species